UCUGAUGCAGAGGGAAAUGUUCUGCCUCGUUUGAAAAUCAGGCAACAGACACAGAACAUGAAUCUCUCCCUCCCUACCUGCAUGGUCCUGACUUGAAAGCCUGAUCUUAAACUGCAGCAAGGAGAGUGCAGCUGAGUCAAAGCACAGGAACAAUGCCUCUGCCAGCCCCUUGAAGCAGAUGACUCCAUGAAUAAUGCAGCACAGGAGAAAGAGAGCCUGGCUCUGCUCUGGCAGCUUCACAGAAGGGCACAGGAACAUGGGAGAAGCCCUGCAAGAGACCUCUUUGACAGGACCUCUCUGAAGAGCAAUGUGUUGGGAGCAAUCCCAUCUGCAGGGCACGGAGUACAGCAAACAGGAGACAAGCUGACUGAAAACAAAACUGGGGAGCAGCAAACAGGACUGCAAAGUGGUUCCAGUGAAGGCAGAAACGAGGACUGAAAGGAUGUAGGAGGAGGCUCUCACUGUAGACAUGAGCUGAUGUAGAGGAACUGCAAUGCUGAAUUACAGAUGCAGCAGCAGGACAGCUUUCCCCAA